CGGGGCUCCUGCAGGCGGGGCGCUGUGCGGGCCGCGAUCCGGUACGUGGGCCUCCGGGCUGUCCCCUCCGGGGGCGGCGAUCCUCCCUCCGGAGCCCCCCGCAACCCUCCCGGAAGUGGGCAUUUGCAGGACCAGGGAUGCUGCACUGCUCUCCCAUGAGCCAGUCACCAAGUCUGUCUGCUGCAAGCCCUUUCUGAACCUCUGGCUGUCUGGAUGCUCCACUGUGCUCCUUGCCAAGAUGAAGUGCGUCUUGGUGGCCACUGAGGGUGCAGAGGUCCUCUUCUACUGGACAGAUGAGGAGUUUGAAGAGAGUCUUCGGCUGAAGUUCAGGCAGUCAGAGAAUGAGGAAGAGGUCGGCCUCUUGAUGCUCUGAGCUCGGUGACUCCACCCCCCACACCCCACCAGUUCCUCUCUGGACUAAAUGAGGGCAAGAAGAAGUCGAAUUUUAAUCACGUAACAGAAGAACUUGGAGCUAUCAGUUUCUGUAACCUAAAAAGUUUAACAAGCCUGGGCAUGGUGGCUCACGCCUGUAAUCACAACACUUUGGGAAGCCAAGGUGGGCCAAUUGCUUGAGCUCAGGGAUUUGAGACCAGUCUGGGCAGCAUGGCGAAACCCUGUCUCUACAAAAAAAAUACAAAAAUUAGCCAGGUGUGGUGGUGCGUGCCUAUAGUCCCAGCUACUUGGGAGGUUGAGGUGGGAGGAUCACUUGAGUCCAGGUGGUAGAGGCUGCAGUGAGCCGAGAUUGUGCCCGUGCAUUCCAACCUGGGCGACAGAGCAAAAAAAAAAAAAAAAGUUUAACGUAAGCUGAACACGUUAAUUUUUUAAUAGCUAUAUUAAGGUAUGAUUAACAUACCAUAAAUUGCACAUAUUUAAAGUGCACAAUUUGAUAAGCUUUGAUAUGUAUAUACCUAUGAUUCUAUCACA
rnacentral:sRNA from 1 species